GCCCCAGCUCCUGGGCUCCUACUCCUGAUUGCCUCCUCGGGAGGUUUGCAGGCAACAAGCCACUUAUAAACGGACCAUGUGAUAAUUCGCAGUAAAAGGAUUUGCCCCGGCUAAUCCCCACACGCCGGGCCGGUGGGAGGCCUCCCCCGGGCUCCGUCUGGCUGCUCAGCUGUUUCCCUGAUCCCUCCCGGCAAGCGGCGGAAAGCAGGACGCCUGGGUUCUCGGGGCGGUCGUCGGAACGCAGCAGCAGGCGCGAGUUGGGAGUCGCGAGGUCUUAACCUCGAGCACAGAGCCGGACCCCGCAGAGAAAAGGUGAAACGCUGGACAGAAAAUACUGGGGGCACUUUAAGGAUCACUCUUAGAAGAACAAGAAAUGUCUACCUGUCUUCCAGAUUCGAAUCAUGAUUUAAAUUUCAAAAUGAUUUUUCUUUCAGUUGUGAUUUAAAUCAAUUUGAUUUU